rnacentral:rRNA from 1 species
CUACGGGUCGCUCCAGUGGGGAAUAUUGGACAAUGGGGGCAACCCUGAUCCAGCCAUGCCGCGUGAGUGAUGAAGGCCCUAGGGUUGUAAAGCUCUUUUGUGCGGGAAGAUAAUGACGGUACCGCAAGAAUAAGCCCCGGCUAACUUCGUGCCAGCAGCCGCGGUAAUACGAAGGGGGCUAGCGUUGCUCGGAAUCACUGGGCGUAAAGGGUGCGUAGGCGGGUUUUUAAGUCAGGGGUGAAAUCCUGGAGCUCAACUCCAGAACUGCCUUUGAUACUGAAGAUCUUGAGUCCGGGAGAGGUGAGUGGAACUGCGAGUGUAGAGGUGAAAUUCGUAGAUAUUCGCAAGAACACCAGUGGCGAAGGCGGCUCACUGGCCCGGUACUGACGCUGAGGCACGAAAGCGUGGGGAGCAAACAGGAUUAGAUACCCCUGUAGUC